ACACGGAUGGCGGAGUGGUUAUGGCGUUGGACUUAAGUACCAAUGGGCAAAAGUCUUCGGUGGGUUCAAACCCCACUCCUGGUA